rnacentral:ncRNA from 1 species
AGCCUGCGGCUUAAUUUGACUCAACACGGGGAAACUUACCAGGUCCAGUCAUAGUAAGGAUUGACAGACUGAGAGCUCUUUCUUGAUUCUCUAGGUGGUGGUGCAUGGCCGUUCUUAGUUGGUGGAUCAUUUGUAUGGUUAAUUCCGUUAACGAACGAGACCUCAGCCUGCUAACUAGCUAUGUGGAGGUUCAUCCAGAGUCUCUCUGUGUCAUUUUUACUAUUUUGGUAAUCAAACAGAUGUUCUGCUAUUUGUGCAGGGCCACAUCUGCACU